AUGCCCGACUUGGGAACACAUAUACUAAAAUUAGAAUAAUACAUAGAAAAUUAGCAUGGCUUCUGUGCAAGGAUGACACACACACAUUUUUGAUGUUUUAUAUAUACAU